GGUUAAUCCAAUAUUUACGGUUUUUAUUUAUCUCCUUCUUCUUAAGUACCAUCAGAAGAAAACAUCGUCCUCAUCAGAUGAUGACAUGGUUGUUACCGCGUUGCUUCUAUUUGAGAGCUGGGGGGGGGGGCAAUACGUAUUGUCUGUUGAAUAUUGUGAGUUACUACAGAUAUGUAGUUGCUCGUUGACUAUUGCUCCGGUGUGAGAGCCGCUUUACUGAAUUUUUUUUCGAAAUAGUUAUUCUAGUGAUACUAGAAUGCUGAUUGAUAUAGUUUAAUAACAGUACAGUUUGGAUCACUACUAUAAUACGCGUGACAGCUGAAAUGAAAAUAAAAUAAGUGUCUAUGCAGUUCAUUUUUUGAUAAUUAUUAAUUAUAUUCAAUACUUACGUUCAAAAAUAUGAUCAUCUAAAAUGCACCAAUUUACGUUUGAUGCCAUUAUUAUUUUAAUUAUUUAUUUUUUAAAUAAUAUUUUAAAAUUAAUUUAAAAAAUGUGAACAUAACAAACAUAGAAAAAAGAUAAUAACAAGUAAAACUUGACAGAGUCGGUCGGUUAGUGAUAGUGGUGCGAAACCGCCACAGAAAAAUUUAUAAGGUUGGAUGAAUUUCAGAAGAAAUCGGACAAUACCAGUAAUGUAAGAGCAAUGAGGAUUUAAGUAGGUAGGUAUCUAUUAUCUUAUCUAAUAGUUUAUUAUUUAUUAUUAUUAUUUUUUGUCGAUCGAUUUUAUGCCUAACCUAACCUAUCCAGUGUUUUGUCGGAACCGUAUUUUGUUUGAUCCGCAUUUGGUCGGAAAAAUAUGUAUAAUAAUAUAUAUAUAUAUUAUAUUCUAAUAUUUUACCGCCUCCACAUUGUAAUCUGAUGACGUAUGCCAGUAGUUUUCAACCUUUUUGGGUCUACGGCUCUUCUGAUUUCGAAAACCAAAUUAGCG